rnacentral:rRNA from 1 species
UACAGAGGAGCCAAGCGUUGUCCGGAUUGACUGGGCGUAAAGGGUGCGUAGGCGGCGCGGUAAGUCGGGUGUGAAAUCUCGGAGCUUAACUUCGAAACUGCAUUCGAUACUGCCGUGCUUGAGGACUGGAGAGGAGACUGGAAUUUACGGUGUAGCGGUGAAAUGCGUAGAUAUCGUAAGGAAGACCAGUGGCGAAGGCGGGUCUCUGGACAGUUCCUGACGCUGAGGCACGAAGGCCAGGGGAGCAAACGGG